rnacentral:rRNA from 1 species
AGUGAACGCUGGCGGUGGGCCUAACACAUGCAAGUCGAACGGCAGCACAGGAGAGCUUGCUCUCUGGGUGGCGAGUGGCGGACGGGUGAGGAAUACAUCGGAAUCUACUCUGUCGUGGGGGAUAACGUAGGGAAACUUACGCUAAUACCGCAUACGACCUACGGGUGAAAGCAGGGGACCUUCGGGCCUUGCGCGAUUGAAUGAGCCGAUGUCGGAUUGGCUAGUUGGCGGGGUAACGGCCCACCAAGGCGACGAUCCGUAGCUGGUCUGGGAGGAUGAUCAGCCACACUGGAACGGAGACACGGUCCAGACUCCUACGGAAGGCAGCAGUGGGAAAUAUUGGACAAUGGGCGCAAGCCUGAUCCAGCCAUACCGCGUGGGUGAAGAAGGCCUUCGGGUGGUAAAGCCCUUUUGUUGGGAAAGAAAUCCAGCUGGCUAAUACCCGGUUGGGAUGACGGUACCCAAAGAAUAGGCACCGGCUAACUUCGUGCCAGCAGCCGCAGUAA